rnacentral:rRNA from 1 species
UAGGGAAUCUUCCACAAUGGGCGAAAGCCUGAUGGAGCAACGCCGCGUGUGUGAUGAAGGCUUUCGGGUCGUAAAGCACUGUUGUAUGGGAAGAACAGCUAGAAUAGGAAAUGAUUUUAGUUUGACGGUACCAUACCAGAAAGGGACGGCUAAAUACGUGCCG